rnacentral:rRNA from 1 species
UUCCGUAGGUGAACCUGCGGAAGGAUCAUUAAAGAGUAAGGGUGCUCAGCGCCCGACCUCCAACCCUUUGUUGUUAAAACUACCUUGUUGCUUUGGCGGGACCGCUCGGUCUCGAGCCGCUGGGGAUUCGUCCCAGGCGAGCGCCCGCCAGAGUUAAACCAAACUCUUGUUAUUAAACCGGUCGUCUGAGUUAAAAUUUUGAAUAAAUCAAAACUUUCAACAACGGAUCUCUUGGUUCUCGCAUCGAUGAAGAACGCAGCGAAAUGCGAUAAGUAAUGUGAAUUGCAGAAUUCAGUGAAUCAUCGAAUCUUUGAACGCACAUUGCGCCCCUUGGUAUUCCGAGGGGCAUGCCUGUUCGAGCGUCAUUACACCACUCAAGCUAUGCUUGGUAUUGGGUGCCGUCCUUAGUUGGGCGCGCCUUAAAGACCUCGGCGAGGCCUCACCGGCUUUAGGCGUAGUAGAAUUUAUUCGAACGUCUGUCAAAGGAGAGGACUUCUGCCGACUGAAACCUUUAUUUUUCUAGGUUGACCUCGGAUCAGGUAGGGAUACCCGCUGAACUUAAGCAUAUCAAUAAGCGGAGGAA